GGGUCAGUAGGUUGGUCGUGCCACCGGUACGUACUGGUCUCACUGAUUCCUCCUUCCUGAAGAACCGUAAUGCCAUUAAUUUGGUGUUGCGGGGAAACAGGACUGUUACUUUUAAAAAAUUAGAGUGUUUAAAGCAAGCUAACGCUUGAAUACAUUAGCAUGGAAUAAUGAAAUAGGACGAUCGAUCCUAUUUUGUUGGUUUCUAGGAUUGACGUA
rnacentral:rRNA from 1 species